rnacentral:rRNA from 1 species
GUCUACGGCCAUACCACCCUGAACGCACCCGAUCUCGUCUGAUCUCGGAAGCUAAAGUCAGCUUUACCAAUUUAGCCUUCAAAACUCAGUGCUAACAGGACUGAAGACC